rnacentral:rRNA from 1 species
AGAGUUUGAUCCUGGCUCAGAACGAACGCUGGCGGCAUGCCUAACACAUGCAAGUCGAACGAGAGCUUUCGGGCUCUAGUGGCGCACGGGUGCGUAACGCGUGGGAAUCUGCCCUUAGGUACGGGAUAACAGCGGGAAACUGCUGCUAAUACCGUAUGAUAUCGCGAGAUCAAAGAUUUAUCGCCUAGGGAUGAGCCCGCGUAGGAUUAGCUAGUUGGUGGGGUAAAGGCCUACCAAGGCGACGAUCCUUAGCUGGUCUGAGAGGAUGAUCAGCCACACUGGGACUGAGACACGGCCCAGACUCCUACGGGAGGCAGCAGUGGGGAAUAUUGGACAAUGGGCGAAAGCCUGAUCCAGCAAUGCCGCGUGAGUGAUGAAGGCCUUAGGGUUGUAAAGCUCUUUUACCCGGGAAGAUAAUGACUGUACCGGGAGAAUAAGCCCCGGCUAACUCCGUG